UCCCAAUCAUUUAUUUUGAAGGUAAAGCGGAAACGACCGUCGGCGUACUGACGUCAGCGUGACAGAUUUAUUUGAAGGUUCGUGUGCGUCAUAGAGCGACGACAGGAGCGUGUUCCAACUAUCGCAGUGAAGUAGGUCGAUCCUCCACCGAGUGCUGAUCAAGGUUCGAGUGUCAGGACAGAUAGAAGAGUCACUACUCAUUGUUUGGGACAAAGUACUACUGCUGCUACCCCUCAUCCUACAGAAGGUAACAUCUCACCCUCAGUUUGCUGUGAUCGACCACCAGCGGCGGCGUUUCCUCGUCGAGGAUCUCCACAGAUCUGCCUCUGUUGAACAGCUGCAUCUGCUCCAAGGCGGCCUCGCCGGCUCUCGCCUCGUCCAUGCUACACUUUUCUGAGGAGGACAGGAGGCGCACAUGGUUUAUUCUUCUUCUGACUCCCCACAGGGUUCGCACAGUUUAUUGAAAGUCAAAUUCUUUAAAGGGUGGAGCCUCGGCCGCCUGGUCCAGAAUGAGGUCCUGGAAGAAGUCUGUCCUCUCCUGCCGGGUGGGAACACUGAUGGUGUAAACCUCCCCGUAAUCUUCCCGGAACAGAAACUGAAUCUGAGGAUAGAAACAGAAGUCCGAGCUCUUCCAUAAUGGUUUUCCUUCCAGUUGGUUCUUUCUAAAAGGCUAAAAGCGUUUGGCUUCCUGUGGACAAAACUGCUAAAAACCACGAUCUGAUGCAAUAAAUGUGAGAGGGAAAAGGUUUCAGACACAUUUCUGACCCAGGGUUCAGUCCAGCUACUCACCUCAGGGUCCAGCUGUUGACGGGGGACGCUGCAGGUGGCGAGGAGGAGGAUGGGGGUGAAGGAGGGGAUGCUGCCUAGCAGGCUGAGGAAGGAGGCCCUCAAUGCGGGCCCUGCUGUCUCCCACCACUGCUGGAUGUGGGGGAUGUAGAGGAUGCUGGGAGACGUCCGCUUGGCCUCGCAGAACACCUGGGGGGGGGCAGAGAACAAUGUUUUAUGUUCUGCAGCGUUGGUUUGUGUGAUUCAAAGACUGCAACAUACUGUUUAAGAAUGAAACUAAUUAGAACUAAUUACAUCUAAAAAUACUCUGCAGUUGCCUGUCAUCACCACCAGAUGUCCCUAAAGGACAACAGUGAGAGAUGUUCAAGGAGGCGAAACCUGGAGCUAAUUUUAAAUGUGAGCUGACUGCAUGUCUUCACUAUUGUGCAACGUAACUUGUUCAACUCACCACUACAUACUAAAUUAACAAAAAGACACAC